GGCUUAAUCAACACGAAACGUUUUAAUAAAGAACACAAAAUACCCAAAGACUCACUCUUUGAAAGGACACGUAUUUACAUUAUUUACCAACUUCGGAAAGCCUCAGUACCCACUGUGAAUCUGUUAGGAAACAUGGCAAAGAUUUCAUGUGCUUAAGAGUAAAAGCAAGUCACGAGUCCUUUGAGGACUCUGAAGUGAAAGAGCACAUUCCCGUAUUCUAUCAGCCAAGCUAUGAAAAGGCUUCCUAGGCUAGUUCCACCCCCACCCCACACGCAUCCUUCAGACACAACUCGUGGAGAGUUGUUCUACAAAAGCCUAUUCCAUUUGGGAUGGAAUGCUGCUGGACUCUUGCAACUAAAACCGAUCCAAAAUAACAUUGAACAAAGUGUCCAAAAUUAAGUAUUUCCAGAUGGACAGGUGACAUCUCAAUUUAAUGUCAAACGAUGUUGAUAGUCAAGGGACUAAAAAAAAAAAAAUUUCUUAAAGACCAGCAGAAUAUAAAAGAAAACUUCAUUGAGCUAUGCAGCUCCCUAAUUUGCUAUGGUCUUGAUAUCACAUGAACAAUGGGCUUUGGCACGUCGAUGUAAACCAGUGAACAGAGCAUGUUUAUUGUAUUUCUGUAAUUAUUCAAGAGUGGUCAGUUUUGUCCUUAACUAUCCAAAAUUGAAUUGAAUAAAAAAAUGAAAGGCAAAAUUCACGGGUGUAUAUAUAUGUAAUUAAAAUCUUGAACCUACAGGUAAAUAGAAUAAAAUGUAAUUUCUUAUGAACUCGGCUGCUGUGAAUUGCAUGCAAGAGGUAUUCUCUUUGUAAUCUAUGGCUAGAUGCUGACACAAAAUGUGUCAGUUGUGGAGCUGGCCCGGGUGCCCUGAGACUGGCUUAAUUACAGCCUGGCUUGAGGACCUCUCCAAAAAGAAUGCCCCGAGGAGAGGAGUGAAUGUCCAAACUACAAGAAUUUCAGAAGAAUCAGGCAAGACACACAGGAUCCAGGGCAAUAAAGCUGGAAAGCCGCCUUCUCCUCUCUAUAAACGUAGCUUUGUUUGGCUCGGAUGUGCUUCACUUGCUGACCUGAUGAGCCACGAGAAGGGUACGUGGCAAGAUCAGAAAGCCCC
rnacentral:lncRNA from 1 species